GUAGUCCUGGCUGUAAACGAUGUCGACUUGGAGGUUGUGCCCUUGAGGCGUGGCUUCCGGAGCUAACGCGUUAAGUCGACCGCCUGGGGAGUACGGCCGCAAGGUUAAAACUCAAAUGAAUUGACGGGGGCCCGCACAAGCGGUGGAGCAUGUGGUUUAAUUCGAUGCAACGCGAAGAACCUUACCUGGUCUUGACAUCCACGGAAGUUUUCAGAGAUGAGAAUGUGCCUUCGGGAACCGUGAGACAGGUGCUGCAUGGCUGUCGUCAGCUCGUGUUGUGAAAUGUUGGGUUAAGUCCCGCAACGAGCGCAACCCUUAUCCUUUGUUGCCAGCGGUCCGGCCGGGAACUCAAAGGAGACUGCCAGUGAUAAACUGGAGGAAGGUGGGGAUGACGUCAAGUCAUCAUGGCCCUUACGACCAGGGCUACACACGUGCUACAAUGGCGCAUACAAAGAGAAGCGACCUCGCGAGAGCAAGCGGACCUCAUAAAGUGCGUCGUAGUCCGGAUUGGAGUCUGCAACUCGACUCCAUGAAGUCGGAAUCGCUAGUAAUCGUGGAUCAGAAUGCCACGGUGAAUACGUUCCCGGGCCUUGUACACACCGCCCGUCACACCAUGGGAGUGGGUUGCAAAAGAAGUAGGUAGCUUAACCUUCGGGAGGGCGCUUACCACUUUGUGAUUCAUGACUGGGGUGAAGUCGUAACAAGGUUACCGUAGGGGAACCUGCGGCUGGAUCACCUCC
rnacentral:rRNA from 1 species